UAGGGAAUCUUCCACAAUGGACGCAAGUCUGAUGGAGCAACGCCGCGUGAGUGAAGAAGAGUUUCGGCUCGUAAAGCUCUGUUGUUAAAGAAGAACGUGGGUAAGAGUAACUGUUUACCCAGUGACGGUAUUUAACCAGAAAGCCACGGCUAACUACGUGACAG
rnacentral:rRNA from 1 species